rnacentral:rRNA from 1 species
GACGAACGCUGGCGGCGUGCUUAACACAUGCAAGUCGAACGAGAAUCUGCGGAAAGAGGAUUCGUCCAGUUGAAGCAGAGGACAGUGGCGGACGGGUGAGUAACGCGUGAGGAACCUGCCUUUCAGAGGGGGACAACAGUUGGAAACGACUGCUAAUACCGCAUGACGCAUUGAGAUCGCAUGGUCUUAAUGCCAAAGAUUUAUCGCUGAAAGAUGGCCUCGCGUCUGAUUAGCUAGUUGGUGAGGUAACGGCUCACCAAGGCGACGAUCAGUAGCCGGACUGAGAGGUUGAACGGCCACAUUGGGACUGAGAUACGGCCCAGACUCCUACGGGAGGCAGCAGUGGGGAAUAUUGGGCAAUGGGCGCAAGCCUGACCCAGCAACGCCGCGUGAAGGAAGAAGGCUUUCGGGUUGUAAACUUCUUUUGUCAGGGACGAGUAGAAGACGGUACCUGACGAAUAAGCCACGGCUAACUACGUGCCAGCAGCCGCGGUAAUACGUAGGUGGCAAGCGUUGUCCGGAUUUACUGGGUGUAAAGGGCGUGUAGCCGGGAGGGCAAGUCAGAUGUGAAAUCCACGGGCUUAACUCGUGAACUGCAUUUGAAACUGUUCUUCUUGAGUAUCGGAGAGGCAAUCGGAAUUCCUAGUGUAGCGGUGAAAUGCGUAGGUAUUAGGAGGAACACCAGUGGCGAAGGCGGAUUGCUGGACGACAACUGACGGUGAGGCGCGAAAGCGUGGGGAGCAAACAGGAUUAGAUACCCUGGUAGUCCACGCUGUAAACGAUGAAUACUAGGUGUGCGGGGACUGACCCCCUGCGUGCCGCAGUUAACACAAUAAGUAUUCCACCUGGGGAGUACGAUCGCAAGGUUGAAACUCAAAGGAAUUGACGGGGGCCCGCACAAGCGGUGGAUUAUGUGGUUUAAUUCGAAGCAACGCGAAGAACCUUACCAGGGCUUGACAUCCUACUAACGAAGUAGAGAUACAUCAGGUGCCCUUCGGGGAAAGUAGAGACAGGUGGUGCAUGGUUGUCGUCAGCUCGUGUCGUGAGAUGUUGGGUUAAGUCCCGCAACGAGCGCAAACCCCUAUUGUUAGUUGCUACGCAAGAGCACUCUAGCGAGACUGCCGUUGACAAAACGGAGGAAGGUGGGGACGACGUCAAAUCAUCAUGCCCCUUAUGUCCUGGGCUACACACGUAAAUACAAUGGCGGUCAACAGAGGGAUGCAAAACCGCGAGGUGGAGCGAAACCCCUAGAAGCCGUCCCAGUUCAGAUUGUGGGCUGCAACCCGCCCACAUGAAAGUCGGAAUCGCUAGUAAUCGCGGAAUCAGCAUGCCGCGGUGAAAUACGUUUCCCGGGCCU